CACGUAGGGCGCAAGCGUUGUCCGGAAUUAUUGGGCGUAAAGAGCUCGUAGGCGGUUUGUCGCGUCUGCUGUGAAAACCCGAGGCUCAACCUCGGGCCUGCAGUGGGUACGGGCAGACUAGAGUGCGGUAGGGGAGAUUGGAAUUCCUGGUGUAGCGGUGGAAUGCGCAGAUAUCAGGAGGAACACCAAUGGCGAAGGCAGAUCUCUGGGCCGUAACUGACGCUGAGGAGCGAAAGCGUGGGGAGCAAACAGG
rnacentral:rRNA from 1 species